AUAUAAGUGUCUCGUAUUUGGUUUAAAAGGGGAACAAUGAAGGGCGUGCCUCGUCUCUUACAAGACUGUGCAGUGCAUUCAAUUAUUUACAUUGCUUCCUGAAGCUUAGCUUAUUGGAGCUUAGAAUCAUACCUCUGUUGUCUGGUGAUGAAUUCUUUGAAGACGUAGUGGACUUAAUCGUAAUAGCUGGGCAAUUGUUUGAGAACAACCAGAACAUUUGAGCUAUUUGAGCAGCUUUCCUAGCAAAUGGAGAUGAGACCUAUCCUGUGUUUGGUACUGCUUCUACUACUGGUACACAAGCAACGAUGAGAGGUUGGGGUUGGCAUCCAUCUCAAGCCCUAUGACCAUGAGUAUUAGAGCAGUAACUUGUAGUACUUUUGGAUUACAAAAUUAGUUUCCUAUGAACCUAUCCAAUUUGAUUUUAUUGUUUUGCGUAUUUGUAUUUGUAAUGUUUUAACAAGCAGGAUUUGAUACCUUGUGUUGUGUUUUCGUAGUAAGUUUGGAACCUUGUUGUGCACAACUUAACUUUUAUAUGUGGUUUACAGGUUACUAGACUUAGUGUGGAUUA